rnacentral:rRNA from 1 species
CCUACGGGAGGCAGCAGUGGGGGAUAUUGGACAAUGGGGGGAACCCUGAUCCAGCGACGCCGCGUGAGUGAAGAAGUAUUUCGGUAUGUAAAGCUCUUUCAGCAGGGAAGAAAGAAAUGACGGUACCUGACCAAGAAGCCCCGGCUAACUACGUGCCAGCAGCCGCGGGAAUACGUAGGGGGCAAGCGUUAUCCGGAAUUACUGGGUGUAAAGGGAGCGUAGACGGUUAAGUAAGUCUGGAGUGAAAGGCCGGGGCCCAACCCCGGGACUGCUCUGGAAACUAUUGAACUUGAGUGCAGGAGAGGUAAGCGGAAUGCCUAGUGUAGCGGUGAAAUGCGUAGAUAUUAGGAGGAACACCAGUGGCGAAGGCGGCUUACUGGACUGUAACUGACGUUGAGGCUCGAAAGCGUGGGGAGCAAACAGGAUUAGAUACCCCUGUAGUC